CUGAGUUUAAAGUGUGUAUGUAUAGGAAGACAGGAUUUCCUUGACCUUCUAUGACUCAUCUCUCAUAUUACUGGUGAUUGUUCCAUAUCAUUGCUUUGGUUUAGACUGUGGGUCUUUGACUGUAUGUUUGUUCAGUGCUGGAAGUUUUGGAGGCAAAGAAAAAACAUGGAUUUUCAGAUUACUACCACCUGUGAGAUUUCUGGGAGACAAGGACUUGAGUUCUCUCUGAAUCUAGGCAGAUGAACAGACAGGAAGAAGGAACUAUUAUUAGGUCAAGAUGAUUCGAUCAUCUUAAAAGAUCCAACCGUUACAUUUUUGCUUAAAAAUAAAACUCAGGCAUACCUGUUCAAUGUAUAUGGUUGGAUUAACACUUCUUUUUAUUUUUUCAGGUUCUCUACCCAAGAAAAGCACACAAAAAUUUUCAGAAUGCUUGUAUGCCUAAAACAGAAGGAAGAGCUCUUUAAGGACCUAAUUUUGUAUUGGAAGAAUAAGGUGUUGUUUGGGUCUUGGUGAGCAGAGAGAAGACCUGAUCGCCACAACACAGUCCUUGAGCCACCUCUGAUUGUGCCCACUUGCGCACUUACAUCUCUUCAGGGGCAUGGUGGCCCUGUCCAUCAGACAGAAAAUCAAUUCCAGUGAGUGACAAAGAGUAGGAAAAAUCCUGAAUGUCAUAAGAGUUUAAAGAGAAAUUUAAUUAACAAAUAAAAAAACUGAAUGACAUUAAAAUAAACUAUAGAAGAAGUUCAAUAAGAAUAAUAUAAAUGGAAAAAUUGGCAACAAAUUUGAAAAGAUGUUUAAGUUUGUUCAUAAUGUAAUCAUUUAAGUAUAAGUGACAACGGGAAGCCACUUUUCAGCUCUCAGUUGGCCAUUGCCUUGCUCUGUGACUACUCCUCCUUCUUUAGUCACACACACACCUCACCAUGUACCAGCAGCAAUGACCCCAUCCUGGUCUAACAUGGGUACAUCAGGAGGGUUCAGAUGCUAAGUUGCACACAGUUAUCACCUCUUUUUCGAGCUCCUAUCUCAGAUGUUAU
rnacentral:lncRNA from 1 species